CCUACGGGAGGCAGCAGUAGGGAAUAUUGCUCAAUGGGGGAAACCCUGAAGCAGCAACGCCGCGUGGAGGAUGAAGGUUUUCGGAUUGUAAACUCCUUUUGUUAGAGAAGUGAAUUACGGUAUCUAACGACUAUUCACCGGCUAACUCCGUUCCAGCUGCCGCGGGAACACGGAGGGUGCAAGCGUUAUCCGGAAUUACUGGGCUUAAAGGGCGCGUAGGCGGGUUAGCAAGUCAGAUGUGAAAUCCUAUGGCUUAACCAUAGAACUGCAUUUGAAACUGUUAUUCUAGAGUUUGGGAGAGGUAGGUGGAAUUCUUGGUGUAGGGGUGAAAUCCGUAGAGAUCAGGAGGAAUACUCAUUGCGAAGGCGACCUGCUAGAACAUAACUGACGCUGAUGCACGAAAGCGUGGGGAGCAAACAGGAUUAGAUACCCGGGUAGUC
rnacentral:rRNA from 1 species